CUCUCCAUGUAUCUGAGAGCUUCAGGACAGCGGUUUCAUAGCUGAAAAAGCGGGUUGCGGCCAUGGCUUCAUUAACGAUCAGACCUGAACCUGUGAAGCAGAAGAAGAGGCCCAACUACCAGAUAAACAAUAAUCGGUACUGCACAUAUUGUGCCUCUAACCGUGAUCACCAAUGGCCCUUCGAACUCUCCCGCAAACCACUCGGAAAAGCAGAAGGUCCGUCACGACUCGCCUCCGAGAAUCAGAGGAAUGACUUCUCCUAACCAGAUGCCUUCACGCCGAUGUCGCAACUCUGCUUGAACAAAGAAGAAACACCUCCCUUCCUUUCUCCGACCGAACCAUAGACGAUUAUUAACGGUCUC
rnacentral:lncRNA from 1 species